rnacentral:tmRNA from 1 species
GGGGACGACCUGGCUUCGACGUGGGUUACAAAACUUAAGGUGCAUGCCGAGUAUGUUAAUUCUUCUCGUAAAACAGAUUAACAAAAUAUAGUUGCAAACGAUAACAACUACUCUCUAGCAGCCUAGGCUUGCUAGCCUCUGACUAAAGCCGUGCUUAUGCGUUUAGGUUUCAGGGGUCGAUUCUCAUAAGACAAGCUUGACGUAUGCUUGGUACUGAUAGAUUGAAAUUUCACAAGAUCGCUAUUUGUUUUCCCUGUUCAUCGGGUAGCUUGUAGUUAAACUAAUAGAUGAAAUAAGCAUGUAGAUCCGAAAGCAGAGGAUUUGCGGACGCGGGUUCGAUUCCCGCCGUCUCCACCA